rnacentral:rRNA from 1 species
CACAGAAGAAGCACCGGCUAACUCCGUGCCAGCAGCCGCGGUAAUACGGAGGGUGCAAGCGUUAAUCGGAAUUACUGGGCGUAAAGCGUGCGUAGGUGGUUGAUUAAGUUAUCUGUGAAAUCCCUGGGCUUAACCUGGGCAGGUCAGAUGAUACUGGUUGACUCGAGUAUGGGAGAGGGUAGUGGAAUUUCCGGUGUAGCGGUGAAAUGCGUAGAGAUCGGAAGGAACACCAGUGGCGAAGGCGGCUACCUGGCCUAAUACUGACACUGAGGCACGAAAGCGUGGGGAGCAAACAGGAUU